UAAUAGUUGAGCUUAAGAUGAAUACGAGCAACAAAGGAUAAAUUCUAGUCAGAUUUGGAAUAAAUAUUAAAUGGGUUCAGAUUUGAAAACAUUUUAACUUUUAUGUACUCAAAUCCAGUACCUUCAAUUUAUGAGUACCCUACCCGUUAUGAUCCUGGAACAUUGGCGGACAGAGAGCUAGUCAACAACCCAUGCAUGGCCUCAUAUGGGGAGGAAAAGUUGGCAAGUAAAUCUCAUGCAACUUCAGCAAUUAAUAUUUGGAACUUCCUCAAAAUGAGUUGUUUCUCAACAUGGAAAGGCAAUAACAUUCAAAACUAGAAUGUUACCGCAACACAAAUCCAGACAGAUGCCCAUUCAGAAAUCCAUAGAUUGGCAUUUAUUCGACGCUUUACAUUUUUUCCCCUUUACUUUCUUCCCCCCAUUUUUGCUCAACUUCUUUGGUUUCUCAUCCAUAACCGGUUGUGUACUCUGUAAGUGUUGAUGAAUGGCUCCCAGGGGAUCUGACUGGAAAGCAGGAUGGUUAAGAACAGUACCCAAUUGUUUCCCUUCCUUCAAUAUUAGUUUUUGUCUAGAUUUACAAUUCAGUUUAAACUCAGCUGCAGGAGUUGAUUGCUGUUUCUGAGAAGCCGUCAACUCAGGAAGGAACUCUGUAAGUGCAGACAGAUCAUAUGCUUUCAAUUUCUUCUGUCGACUUCGGAGCUUCUUUUUCUUAGUAAUGGACUUUUGGGCAGUCAAACUGGCAACCGUAUCCCUAACCUUGGUAUAAAAUUCAAGUUUCUUCUCGAAUUUCCGAUCAGCUUUAGUCAUAGAAUCUUGUCUUGAUUUUCCCAUGCUUCAAGAUUUCGAAUAUCAGUUUCGACACUUCUCUGGUUCGAUCGUUUAAAUUUCAGAUUCUAUCUGCAACUCUCUCUUUCUCCCUCUCUCUCGUGUGUCUUUUAGAAAUCUUUAUAUACCCUCUGCCGUCAAUCUAAACAACGACAGCGAAAGCCUUGAGAGUGGUAUUUGUUGAACAACGAUAGCAAACGAGAACGGCAAUGGUGAACGACGGCGAUUGCGGUGGCUUUAGGACUCAAGGGUUUAGUGUUUUGUAAUAGGAUAGAAAGUCGAAUUAUCGCCUCUUCUGUCGAACGGUUGUUGUGGGCUG
rnacentral:misc_RNA from 1 species